rnacentral:tRNA from 1 species
UCCCUCAUAGCUCAGUUGGUAAAGAAUCUGCCUGCAAUGCAGGAAAGCUGGGUUCGAUUCCUAGGUCGGGAA